UACAGAGGAGCCAAGCGUUGUCCGGAUUGACUGGGCGUAAAGCGCGCGUAGGCGGCUCGGGUAGUCAUCGGUGAAAGUUCAGGGCUCAACUCUGAAUCGGCCGGUGAUACUCCCGUGCUCGAGCACUGUAGAGGCAGGUGGAAUUCCGGGUGUAGCGGUGGAAUGCGUAGAGAUCCGGAAGAACACCGGUGGCGAAGGCGGCCUGCUGGGCAGUAGCUGACGCUGAUGCGCGACAGCGUGGGGAGCAAACAGG
rnacentral:rRNA from 1 species